CACCGCGCCCGGCACGCGCGCCCGGCGCCUUUGCCGGCAGGUCGCGGGGCUGUGGAGCCGCGAGGGCUGACGGCGCUCGCCGCAAGUUUGCAGAGCGGCCCCCGCAGCGCAGCGGCAGCGGGCGAGGCGCCUCUGCGGAGACGCCUCUCCCGGCGAGUCGCACUGCCGCUCCGGGCUGUCCGCCCAGGCGCAGGCACGCAGACACACUCGCACACACAGGCUGGCACCGCCACAACCCGCCAGCCGGUGUGACAGGAGCCCUGCUACCCGCAGCAAAAACCUGCCCUAGGUACGGAGCAUGCGCCAAAGCCUCCCCCAGCCCCGGAGGAGUUUCCAGGGGAGGAGUCCGCUGCUCCGCGGGGCUCGGAGGAGGCAGCUGGGGGUGGGAAUCCCUUCGGCCGGGAGCAAGGAGAGAUUUGGCAGAAAGGCAAAGGUGGGGCGAGAGGAGGCCCCGAGGUAAGCGUCGCUGGCGUUGAUCUGACACCUUAAAAUGGGCAGCUUCUCUGUCUGGUAGUGGCCGGCCUUAUUUUCAGGAAUAACACCUGCACACUCCCGGGAACACUCACUAGACCAGACUUUACACGGGUUGGCAGUUCCCUUCUCAGCAGGGGAACGUGGCUCCAGACUGCUGUGAAUUUCUACCCAAGACAUUCUAACUGGUGUUCGAGUUUUAUGGUGGUCCUCCCUUAAUAACAAACUUGGUGCGUCCAACUAUACAACUGUAUUCAACCAGCAUCAAUUAACCAUUAAGCGCCUAACUGUGUAUCAGGCUCUAUGUUCAAUACACACUUUCUUUCAGCACUAGACAGUCCAGCCCUCAACCAUGCAGUACUUAGAACAUAAAAAGGAGUUUAGGGAUCACCUCCUAAAAAAAUCAUUCUACUAAUAGACGUUGAACUCCUAAAUGUUCAAGAUUUAUUCCUUCCCAACAAUGGUGGAAGAUAACACUUAAGCUUGCCUAUAUUUCAUAAGCCCUAAUUUGUAUGCAGAUGUUUUUUGGAAACUUUAUUUUUCAAACAUCUAGAUGUUGCAUUUAGUAUUACCCCAGAACUAAAUCUUUGCUCAAUAACAACUUCUGUUUUUCAGAUAGUGAAAAGAUAUACGAUCAAAUUGUUGUAACUGCCCUACCACAGUCCCUAGACCUGCUCGACCUAUUUUCCGAGUGGAGAGUGGCAAUGUGUUAAAGGCAAUGUGUGAGGACAAUGCAGUGUGAUUCCCUGGCCCAGACCAAUGUGUCCCUCCCAGCUACACUACCGUAUUCCACAGGUGUGCUAUAAUAUUUCAUAGCAGCCCACCGUCCCAUCUGGCCUUUUUAUGAAUCCAUGCACUUGUUUCUUCCUGAGACACUCUGUCGAUGUCAUCUAUUUAUCAGGGUGUCCCCUCUGCAGCCAUCAGUGAAGAUCCAGGGCUCUUUCAGGGAUGCUAAAGUUUGCCCAUAGGAUACUAUUUUCCUUGUUUAGACAGGUGGAAUUCUUCUCAAUAAAACUUCCCUCCUCUAUUUCCUUUCCCGUUUUCAACUCUUUAAACAACUCCAACCCUUGCCUUUCCUAAUAUGUAGGAGGCUAUAUCAGUAGAAAAGGUGUUGGGUGAGAUGAAUCAGCUUCUUUAAAGCUUAUUUGAUUCUAUUUCUUUUUCUCUCACUUAAGUUUGAAAUCCUAUUAAUGGCAUCACACCCCACUCCACAGCAAGAAACUGUGAUAAAACAAAAGCCCAACAAUUAUUUUCUGAAUGUGUCUGCUUAAUAUACACAUACCUCUGCUUUAGUUAAGUAAAACAUCAUUAUACCUUUUUAUAUCACCUUAUUGAAGAAGCUUCUCAUUUCCUAUAAAAUUGCUUGAUAUCACAUGGAUAAACAUCACCUUAUUAGCUACCAAAAUGGAUAACCAGAAUGCUAGUGGUAGUUUGUAUAGUGGAAAGCACUCUCCUAGCCAUUAUUUCAUUUGCUUCUCAGAACAACACUCUAAGGAGAUAAGAGAAGUAUAAUAUCCCAUUUCAGAGAUGAGGAAACUGAAGCAAGGAAAGUUAGGUGAAAGCAAAGCCAAAUUAGAAACUGCUAACAUCCCGAAAAUACAGUCACUGAAGAAGUUCAACAAACAUCAACAACAGAGCCCAUAAUUUCCUCUCUCCCCUCUUGAGACCAUUUGAGUCAAGAGGCAAGAAGAGACAACAGAAUUGCAAUAGAAUAAUUAAAUUAUGUUAUCUCUCCUCCUGACUUUAUAGGCAAAGCUGAGCAAUUCUACAUCCUGCAGUAUUUUGUCACUUAGUCUAUUAGUUUCAAGAAAGAGGGAAAAAUAACAAUAACAAUCAUAAAAUGAUUAUAUAAUUGUUAAAUCACUUAGGAGAAUUGUAAAAAUAAAAUGUACGACAAACAUGUAGCAGCUACAUUGCUAACAAAACGUGUAUUUCCAUAAAUAAGUGUACCUUUAACACUUUUCAAAGAACAUUAUCUCCGAAAAUCUCGUUUUAUUUUCAGUAAAAUAGCUACUGAAGUGACUCCAUUUCCUUGAGGUAACCACAAGGAAAACAAUGCAUAGAAUCAAGGCAAUUACACAGACAAUUCAGGCAUUUACUCAAAAAUUCAUUUUUUAAUAAUAGGUAACUUUGGUCGUGUAAAUACAGUCUGUCCCAGGUGUGGUCUCCCUAUUACAGUUGUGGAACUUGGUGUGAACCUAAUCAAAGCUCUUAAAUCACACAAUAAACAGCCUUCCUUAUCUACAAGGGCAGACCUCACAUUCAGGCAAAAAUGAAUAGAAACUUUCUAAAAUUGAACGCUCUCCAGGUAAAAAGGCAAAACAUACUUGCAUUCAGUCUACUAUAGUUACUCCACGAUGACACCAGCUGGCAAUUGUUUCUCCCUAACAUAUAGCAGCUACUAUGAUUCCCACACAAAUUAUUAAAAUAAUAAAAAUAAUGUUUUCAAAGAGCUUUCUUCCACUUCCUUUGCCGGUCUAGCAAUGAGCUUAACACUAUCUGUGAAGCAAUUUGUUCACCUAAUUUUAUGCCUUAAUAAGCUUUACUACAAUUAUUUUCUUGCCUGAUUCGUUCUCUGCCUUGACUUUAGUAUACUUCCUCCCUGUUCUUCUGCAAUAUUCUCAAACCUGUUAACAACAUCGCACUCCCCCAGGAUUCAAACUUUUGAUUAGAACAGUCCCCAUUUAAUCAAGUUCAAUUGGGAAAUAAAAUUGCAUCUCAACUUCUCCAUUUUCCCUUUGGUGCCAGAAACUGCCUUGAGAAUGUUGAAGAAACCCUGGAGAGAUUAACAAUCCAAAUGAUCACAGAGGAUAGUUUUGGAUCCCCUACAUUUGCACAGAGGAAGAGAGAUUUGAAUGCCCCUCAAUAGAGAUGAAAAUAAAACAGAUAAUGUAAGUCAUUGGCAGCAUGACUCUCUCCUACAAGAAUGGAAAGUGCUCUUAUAUACUGAAAUGACUUUUGUUUUUCAGUUUUGUAAACAAUCUUUCUCCCCACAAAAGCCCCUGGGGUAAGCAGUUUUGCAAAUAACCAGCAAAGUGACAGCUUUCUUUUUCCUCAGGAAGUUAAGCAGACAGAGCCCACAUAGUUAGAACCAAUGGCAGAAAGAAUUGGGAUAUAUACUGAUUGUGAUAUAUUCCGGUUCACUAUAUGAUUGUAACUUUGGGGCAACCAUGACCCUACAUACCACUUUCCAUAAAGUUCUAUUUAUCUGAACAGUUCAUUCUUUGCCUUACUGUGUAACAUCCACCAUAGAUAGCUGCCUAUGAGAAUGAAUGGAAACCAUCUGUAUGUAUAAUGUAUUCAUUAACUCAGUAUAGUGUAAGUAGAUGCACUAAUCUUUUCCCAAUAGAUAUUCUUUUAUUUCUUUGAUAAGGACUUGUUAAGCAUUUGCUAUGUACUGUGUACUCUUCUGAAUGCUUUAGAUAUGCUAUUAAACAAGAAUAAGGAUCCUGUCGUCAUGUAGCUUAUAGUCUAACAGUGGAAAAAUAAAUUAUAAAGAAGUAAACAAGAUUCAUUCAUUUGAUCCAAAGAUAUAUAUUGAGCCCCUGCUGUAUGCCAUGUAGUUUUACGUAUUUGGUAUGCACUGAUGAACAAUAAAGACAAUAAUUUUUACCCUCAAAAAUUUAAAUUCCGGCAGGGUAAAACAGUAGGGAAGAAGUCAGAGAGACAAUGGGAGGAAGGUUAUGUCAGGCCUUGUGGGCCAUUGUGAGAAUUUGACUCUGAGAAAUGAGGAGCCACUGCAGAACAGUUUUAAAGGGAUCCUUUCGAGUGUUUUAUUGUCAACUGUAAAAGGAAAAACACAGAAGCAGGAAAACUGGUUAAGUGGCUAUUCCAGUAAUCAUGUGAGAUUGAUGGUGGCCCAGACCAAGACAGGGUGGUUACAGAGGUGGUUGGAAGAGAUCAGAUUGCCUGCAUUUUCAAGACAGAGCCAUCAGAGAGAGUUUCCAUACAGAUUGAAUGUGGGAUAAAAGAGGAAGGGAGGAGUCAAAGAUGAUGCCAAAGUUUGGGGCCUAAACAACUGAAAGGAUGGAGUUGUCAUCAAAAGGGAUGUCAACUGAGAUCAUUACAAGUGCUAAGAGGGGACAUAGCAGGGUGAUAUGACAAAGAAUUCAUGGCAGGGUUGAGGGUAUGGGGCAGGCCUUUCCACUGGAGAGUCAGAAAAGACUGUUGUUACAUAGAGGCAAAGGGGCUAAGUCCUGAAGGAUUAGAAUGGUCUAGCCGUGCCAGACAUCCUGGAGAAGAGCUUUCUAAGCAGAACAAUAAGCACAAAGGUCUGGAGCAGAAAAGAAUUUAGGGGGCUCCAGACAGACAAAUGAUAGAGAAAUGAAAGAGAGGGAGGUUUGGGGUCAGAGCCAUGAUAGUGGGUGCAAAGUAGUCAUUGAGGAAAUGACAGGACUGAUUGAUACUAAAAGCUUACUGGGAUCCAUGAAGAAUGGAUUAGGAAAGACAAAAGAGAAAGCAGAGAAAUCAGUUAGGAAGUGGCUGUUGUUCUCCAGGCAAGAGAUGGUGGGGACUUGGGAUAGGCUGGCAAUGGUGGGGAAAAUAAUUUACAGACACAAGUCCACGGGCCUAGUAUGGAAAGAUUUCACUUCUUCAUUUUCAAAUAACAAAAUGAGACUUUGCCUUUAAGAUUCUAUUGCCUGAUACAGAGGGAAAUGAGAAGCAUUCAACUUACGUUAAUUCAGUCACUUCUGAGUUAACCUCUGUAUCUUUGGAAUAAAUAGUCAAAUUCAUGUUUCUCCCCUCCCCUUCUUCUUUGCUUUUUCCUGCAGUGAGCUAAGCCCUUUCGUACUGGCUAAGGGAAUUGUGGUCUGCAGGGGAGUUUCCUUUUCCUGCUGCUCCCCCUCACCCCCUCCAUGUGCAGUUAUUCCUACCUGAUCGCAGGUGCAAGCCUGGAUUUCUGCUGGGUCUUCUGCUGCCUUGUUAGAAUCUAAGCUGUCAUGUCCACAUGCUCUACAUCUUCCUCCACUGAACUGCGAGCCCACUUCUGUCUGCCACCUCAGCUCUUCUGUGGCCCUUUCUCAAGGGCCUGUUAGCAUGGAAACCAGUGAUGUUUAACCCCAUCAGAUGGAGCACUCAUUUUUAUUAAACAAAUGUUUUGAAGUAAUCCCUUUAAUGAUCUCAAGUUAAGCAUCAUAGAUAAUAGAAUCUACCUACACACAAUUUCUCAGAAAUUAACAUAAUGCUCUAAUUGUAAUGUAAAUGAAACAUGAAAAGAAAGUAAUUAAUAAAACACUGUGUAUUGCAACGUGUAAAUGCUGAGACCUGACUACUGUAGACAACAUAAAGAAGUUCGCAGAUGCUUAUGACUUUUAACUAUCUCAAGUUUGGACAUAGAGAAGUAAGAG
rnacentral:lncRNA from 1 species